GGCUCGGCGUCGCCUGGGCGCUGCUGGCGGCCGCGGCCCUGGGGCUCGGGGCGCGCGGGGUGCGCGGCGCGGUGGCGCUCGCCGACUUCUACCCGUUUGGCGCGGAGCGCGGCGACGCCGUCACCCCCAAGCAGGACGACGGCGGCUCGGGGCUGCGGCCGCUCUCGGGGCCCUUCCCCUUCUUCGGCGCGCGGCACUCCGGGCUCUUCGUAAACAACAAUGGGAUCAUCUCCUUCCUGAAGGAGGUUUCUCAGUUCACCCCAGUGGCCUUCCCCAUCGCCAAGGACCGCUGCGUGGUGGCGGCCUUCUGGGCAGAUGUGGACAACCGGCGUGCAGGCGACGUGUACUACCGGGAGGCCACCGACCCAGCCACGCUGCACCGAGCCACGGAGGAUGUCAGGCGCUACUUCCCUGAGCUCCCGGACUUCUCCGCCACCUGGGUUUUUGUUGCCACCUGGUACCGAGUGACCUUCUUUGGCGGCAGUUCUUCAUCCCCCGUCAACACGUUCCAGACUGUGCUCAUCACAGACGGCAAGCUCUCCUUCACCAUCUUCAACUACGAGUCCAUCACGUGGACCACAGGCACACACGCCAGCAGCGGGGGCAACGCCACGGGCCUGGGGGGCAUCGCAGCCCAGGCUGGCUUCAACGCAGGCGACGGGCAGCGCUACUUCAGUAUCCCCGGCUCGCGCACAGCAGACAUGGCCGACGUGGAGACCACCACCAACGUGGGCGUGCCCGGGCGCUGGGCGUUCAGAAUCGAUGAUGCCCAGGUGCGCGUGGGGGGCUGCGCCCAUACAACCUCCGUGUGCCUGGCCCUGCGCCCCUGCCUCAACGGCGGCAGGUGCAUCGAGGACUGUGUCCCGGGCGACCCCUCCUACACCUGCUCCUGCCUCUCGGGCUUCACUGGGCGGAGGUGCCACCUGGACGUGAACGAAUGUGCCUCCCAGCCCUGUCAGAACGGCGGGACCUGCGCUCACGGCAUCAACAGCUUCAGCUGCCAGUGCCCGGCUGGCUUCGGGGGACCUACCUGUGAGACAGUGUCCCGUCUACACCUCUUCACUCUAGCCCAGUCCCCCUGUGACACCAAAGAGUGUCACAAUGGUGGCCAGUGCCGGGUGGAGAGGGGCUCUGCGGUGUGCGCGUGCCAGGCUGGAUACACCGGAGCUGCCUGCGAGACAGAUGUGGAUGACUGCAGCUCUGGGCCCUGCCUGAACGGAGGCUCCUGUGUCGACCUCGUGGGGAAUUACACCUGCUUGUGUGCAGAGCCCUUCACGGGACCUCACUGCGAGACAGGAGACCACCCAGUUCCCGACGCCUGCCUCUCGGCCCCCUGCCACAAUGGGGGCACCUGUGUGGACGCGGACCAGGGCUACGUGUGCGAGUGCCCCGAAGGCUUCAUGGGCCUGGACUGCAGGGAGAGAACCUCCAGUGGCUGCGAGUGCCGCAAUGGAGGCAGAUGCGUGGGCACCAACACCACCCUCUGCCAGUGUCCCCCGGGAUUCUUUGGGCUCCUCUGUGAAUUUGAAAUCACAGCCAUGCCCUGCAACAUGAACACACAGUGCCCAGAUGGGGGCUACUGCAUGGAGCACGGUGGGAGAUACCUCUGCGUCUGCCACACCGACCACAAUGCCAGCCACUCGCUGCCAUCGCCCUGCGACUCGGACCCCUGCUUCAACGGAGGCUCCUGCGACGCCCGUGACGACUCCUACACCUGCGAGUGCCCGCGCGGGUUCCACGGCAAGCACUGCGAGAAAGCCCGGCCACACCUGUGCAGCUCAGGGCCCUGCCGGAACGGGGGCACCUGCAAGGAGGCGGGCAGUGAGUACCACUGCAGCUGCCCCUACCGCUUCACCGGGAGGCACUGUGAGAUAGGGAAGCCAGACUCAUGUGCCUCUGGCCCCUGUCACAACGGUGGCACCUGCUUCCACUACAUUGGCAAAUACAAAUGUGACUGUCCCCCAGGCUUCUCCGGGCGGCACUGCGAGAUAGCCCCCUCUCCCUGCUUCCGGAGCCCGUGUAUGAAUGGGGGCACCUGCGAAGACCGAGGCGCGGACUUCUUCUGCCACUGCCAAGCUGGGUACAUGGGACGCCGGUGCCAGGCAGAGGUGGACUGCGGCCCCCCAGAGGAGGUGAAGCACGCCACGCUGCGCUUCGACGGCACGCGGCUGGGCGCAGUGGCCCUGUACGCGUGUGACCGCGGCUACAGCCUGAGCGCCCCCAGCCGCAUCCGGGUGUGCCAGCCGCAGGGUGUCUGGAGUGAGCCUCCCCAGUGCCUCGAAAUUGACGAGUGCCGGUCACAGCCGUGCCUGCACGGAGGCUCCUGCCAGGAUCGCGUGGCCGGGUACCGGUGCCUCUGCAGCGCGGGCUAUGAUGGCGCCCACUGCGAGCUGGAGAGGGAUGAGUGCCGAGCUCAGCCCUGCAGAAACGGAGGCUCCUGCAGGAACCUCCCGGGGGCCUUUGUCUGCCAGUGCCCUGCAGGCUUCACUGGAGUCCGCUGUGAGACAGAGGUGGAUGCCUGCGACUCCAGCCCCUGCCAGCACGGAGGCCGGUGCGAGAGCGGCGGCGGGGCCUACCUGUGCGUCUGCCCGGAAGGCUUCUUCGGCUACCACUGCGAGACAGUGAGCGACCCCUGCUUCUCCAGCCCCUGUGGGGGCCGCGGCUACUGCCUGGUCACCAAUGGCUCCCACAGCUGCACCUGCAAAGUGGGCUACACGGGCAAGGACUGCGCCAAAGAGCUCCUCCCACCGACGGCCCUCAAGAUGGACAGAGUGGAGGAGAGUGGGGUCUCCAUCUCCUGGAACCCGCCCGAUGGCCUAGCGGCCAGGCAGAUGCUGGACGGCUACGCGGUCACGUACGUCUCCUCCGACGGCGCCUACCGCCGCACGGACUUCGUGGACAGGAGCCGCUCCUCACACCAGCUCCGGGCCCUGGCGGCCGGCAAGGCCUACAACAUCUCCGUCUUCUCGGUCAAGCGCAACACCAACAACAAGAAUGACAUCAGCAGGCCUGCGGUGCUGCUGGCCCGCACGCGACCCCGCCCUGUGGACACCUUCGAGGUCACCAAUGUGACGGCCAGCACCAUCUCGGUGCAGUGGGCCCUGCACAGGAUCCACCACGCCACCGUCAGUGGGGUCCGUGUGUCCAUCCGCCACCCUGAGGCCCUCGGAGACCAGGCCACCGACGUGGACAGGAGUGUGGACAGGUUCACCUUUGGGGCCCUGCUGCCCGGGAGGAGGUACACCAUCCAGCUGACCACCCUCAGUGGGCUCCGGGGAGAGGAGCACCCCACGGAGAGCCUGGCCACUGCACUAGCACACGUGUGGACCCGGCCCCUGCCUCCAGCAAACCUGACGGCCGCCCGAGUCACGGCCACCUCCGCCCACGUGGUCUGGGACGCCCCAACUCCAGGCAGCCCGCUGGAGGCUUAUGUCAUCAACGUGACCACCAGCCAGAGCGCCAAGAGCCGCUACGUCCCCAGUGGGAAGCUGGCGUCCUACACGCUGCGGGACCUGCUGCCAGGGCAGCGGUACCAGCUGUCGGUGACGGCAGUGCAGAGCACGGAGCAGGGGCCACUGCACAGCGAGCCUGCCCGCCUGUACAUCAUCACCUCCCCCAGCGAUGGCACCGACAGGCGCUGGCAUCAGGGAGGACAGCACCCUCGAGUGCUCAGGAACAGACCACCCCCAGCACGCCUGCCGGAACUGCGCCUGCUCAAUGACCACAGUGCCCCCGAGACCCCCACCCAGCCCCCCAGGUUCUCGGAGCUUGUGGACGGCAGAGGAAGAGUGAGUGCCAGGUUCGGCGGCUCCCCCAGCAAAGCAGCCACCGUGAGACCACGGACUUUCUUGCUCUUAAGGUAUGGAAGUGCUCAGACGGGUGGCCCCAGGACCAUCCUGGGUGCAAAGCAGCCGUGCGGUGUGGUCACCACCUGGCUUCUCCUAGAACCCACAGCCAUGGCGCAGCUCGAGAACACGGAGGAUGCCCCCAGGCAGGUCAGCCUGGCCCUCCAGCUCCCUGAACAUGGCCACAAGGACAUGGAAAACGCCCCUGGGAACUGUUCAGAAAACCCCUGCCAGAACGGAGGCACCUGCGUACCUGGCACGGACGCCCACAGCUGUGACUGCGGGCCAGGGUUCAAAGGCAGACGCUGUGAGCUCGCCUGUACAAAGGUGUCCCGCCCCUGCACGAGGCUGUUCUCCGAGACCAAGUCCUUUCCCGUCUGGGAGGGAGGCGUCUGUCACCACGUGUAUAAACGAGUCUACAGAGUUCACCAAGACAUCUGCUUCAAAGAGAGCUGUGAAAGCACAAGCAUCAAGAAAGCCCCAAACAGGUGCCUCCGGGGAGCAGGCCAGGCUGUGCCCUGCAUGUGGUUCACAGGGUGACGGGCAGAGGUGGCAGGUGCUGUGGCUGCUGCAGGCUUGAGGGCUGAGCCAAGCGGGCUGCUUCCGAGAGGCAGCCCCUGGGCAGCCGUGUUCUGCUACGAAACUUAUGUCCAUAUAUGUGCAUGUGGGUGCACAGAGAGGCGCAGCCAGGCAUGCUGGGUGUUCAGGAGGCCACAUGCUGGGUACUGGGUGGUCACCCGGGUUCUGCAUAUUCACACAGAACAUGUGCUACAGUUGGGAGGCACGGGGGGUUACUGACAGCCCCGAGUAUUUAACGGCGCUGUUUACUUUUUAUUCACUCACACCCACCCAGGUUCUUUCCCGAAGGGUUCAAGGUAGUUAAUUACUCCUGUCUGGAGUUUACUGAAAGAAGUGCCUGAGAACAUUGUAUCUUUCAGAAUCAGAGCUGAAACCUGUCAUCGUCCGCACAGACCCACAGGUGGCCACACACACGUGUUUCGCACUCCCAGUGUCAGGCAGGGCCCCAGCCUGCAGCUCACCAGCCGUGCUGCCCGGCCUGCGCGUGUCACCCAGCUCUUCCCUAGGGUGGCUUUUGCUUGCUUUCUCCCACGUCCGUCCUUCUCUUUCUGACUCACAUCCAGCUAGGUUUCUAGCCUUCUCAUUCCACAACUACGGUCUCAAGCCAGGUGGGUGCACACAAACUGAAAUGCUCAUCUCCACAUCAGUGUCUGGACUCACAGUGUCCCUCACCCUGAAACGUCCGUGAGCUAAAGGCAGGGUUUCAGCAGGUACCCUGGACUGAGGUAGCUGUAGAAUUCAAGGUACACAGUCUCUUUGUCAUUAAAUGACUUUUCUCUAUUUCAGGAAACAAAGUAAGAGUCAGACACUGGAGAAAUCUUAAGAGGAUUUAAGACGUUUUUGUUACACUCCACCAACCUCAAAAGUUUCUAAAGCCCAGGAAGAUGAGGUCUCAAAACUGGAUGAAAAAGGACACCCUGAGAGAAAAGGUCCCAGCUGGAGUCAGUCCCCUCUCUGACCGUCCUCCUCAGGCCUCUAGAAGCCGGAGGGCCAGGCCUGUGCGUGCGCCAGCCCACCCUGAGACCCGGCUCUGGGACCAGCCACCUGGGAGUCCUGCGAAGCACUUCAGCGGUCUGUGCUCUCACCCAGGCUGCAGUUCCUGAAGGUGUGGUCCAUACCUCUGCGAAUGAGAUGACAGCCACCGUUCCCCAGGGUCAGCGAGGCCGUCAGCCACACUCUGCAGUACUCAGAAACCUGUUCUUUGACUCCAAAGCCAGAGAAAGAAUUCUCCCUUUGAGGCCUAACAAAUUGAGAAGGAACCAUGAUGGACAGCUUCCAAAACAGACGGGGCAGGGGCCAAAAAGCAGACACCAGGCGAUGCUGGAAGGAAAGCUGAGGUGCAGACACAGCCACCGUGCUCUGCUCCUCCAGCAUGUUUCUGAUGCUUGUGCAGGGCGACGAGCCAUCGUAUGGACUAGUAGAGGAAAUGUUAACAUAAGGUGGAGUUCAGACACUUUUCAUCUAUAGUGGUGCUGGCAGCCUUUCUCUGUAAAGGGUCAGAUGGUAAAUAUUUUCAGCUCUGCAGACCAGAGGUCCCUGUGGCUACAGCAGCACAGCCACAGCCACAGGCAUGUAUUGAAUGGCUGUGUUCCAAUAAAAAUCUACUUACAAUAACAGUCAGUGGCCAAGUUGGCCCAUGGGCCAUAUUUGGUGAACCCUGUUCUAUGAGAUCAUCUCAGCUUCAGCCUUAAACAGUGGAAGCCAUCCCCUGAAUGGCAAGUCACAAAGGCAUCAAAGACCCCUGAAUUUUCAUGGAAAAAAGCAAUCGAGCCCCCUACUUGGAAAGCUGAGGCACACAGCGCGAAGCAUCAAGGACUCCGCACGAGCCUCAGCGCAGCAGGGAUGGAUGCCUGGGCUGACUGCACAGCGUUUAAGUUCCUUCAGUCCGUGACUCAAGAAAUGCCGUGUCGGGCUAUCAGGUAGUCAGCACCAUCUUAGACCUCCCCAUCUUCAGAAGCAGGACAGGGCAUCACCUCACCACAUCUGCUUCCCACCAUGCUUCUAGGCAGCUGUCUUCCCCCUGCUAAUGUUACAACCAGAGAAGCCAGUCCCACCUCCUCGCGAGCUGAGCCUCAUGAGAGCUGACCUAGCUGGAAAGCACCCUGCCGCGUCUCCCGGACUCUGCUCAGAGCCAGCAUUCCAGCCACAGAAAGGGCCUCCUUCCUUUUGUCUUUUAAAAACAUGUUUUUUUAAGAGUUAAGAGUAUAUUUUAGGCUUUUUCUCUUUAUUAAAAUUUCAUGUGCAUCUG